ACUGGUCAAGACAGGCCGCGCCGAAAAUGUAACGGGGCUCAAGACUAGUGCCGAAGCUUCGGGUCGCACGUAAAGCGUGUGGCGGUAGGGGAGCGUCCCAGUUGCAGCGAAGGUCGACUGAAAAGGCGGCUGGAGCGACUGGGAGUGCUGAUGCCGAAAUGAGUAGCGAUAAAGGGGGUGAGAAACCCCCUCGCCGUAAGCCCAAGGUUUCCUGGGUCAAGUUAAUCUUCCCAGGGUUAGUCGGAACCUAAGCCGAGGCCGAAAGGCGUAGGUGAUGGAAAGCGGGUUAAUAUUCCUGCGCCAUCUUGUGAGCGUUGAACUAAGGGAGGACGGAGAAAGCUAGGCGAGCUGACCGGUGGUUGUGUCAGUCUAAAGGCGUAGGGGUGUCGCGUACGAAUAAAAGGCGCGGCAGCUAUCCCCGAGACCCAUGGCGCCCCGUAAGGGGUAAGUCGUGAUGCUCUGCUUCCAAGAAAAGUCCCGUAGGGAGCUUCAGGGUGUCCGUACCGUAAACCGACACAGGUGGGUGAGGAGAAAAUCCUAAGGCGCUUGAGAGAACUCUCCUCCAAGGAACUAGGCAAAUUUCCACCGUAACUUCGGAAGAAGGUGGGCCCCUGGUAGGUGAAGGCGUACAGCCGGAGCCAGAGGGGUUGCAGAGAAAUGGCGGUAGCGACUGUUUACCAAAAACACAGGACUCUGCGAAGGCAAGAAGCCGACGUAUAGGGUCUGACUCCUGCCCGGUGCUGGAAGGUUAAGAGGGGAUGUCAUCCGCAAGGAGAAGCAUUGAAUCGAAGCCCCAGUAAACGGCGGCCGUAACAAUAACGGUCCUAAGGUAGCGAAAUUCCUUGUCGGGUAAGUUCCGACCUGCACGAAUGGUGUAACGAUCUGGGCGCUGUCUCAGCCAUGAGCUCGGUGAAAUUGUGGUACCGGUGAAGACGCCGGUUACCCGCAACGGGACGGAAAGACCCCAUGAACCUUCACUACAGCUUAACAUUGGGACUGGGUGCGUGAUGUGUAGGAUAGGCGGGAGCCAUUGAAUCCGGUUCGCCAGGAUCGGAGGAGGCAACCUUGAAAUACCGCCCUUUGCGUAUCCGGUUCCUAAUCCCGAAGACUCGGGAGACACUGUUUGGUGGGUAGUUUGACUGGGGUGGUCGCCUCCAAAAAGGUAACGGAGGCUUUCAAAGGUAAGCUCAGUACGCUUGGUAACCGUACGUGGAGUGCAAUGGCAUAAGCUUGCUUGACUGUGAGGCAACAAGCCGACAGGGUCGAAAGACGGAUAUAGUGAUCCGGUGGUUCUGCAUGGAAGGGCCAUCGCUCAAAGGAUAAAAGGUACGCUGGGGAUAACAGGCUGAUCUCCCCCAAGAGCUCAUAUCGACGGGGAGGUUUGGCACCUCGAUGUCGGCUCGUCACAUCCUGGGGCUGGAGAAGGUCCCAAGGGUUCGGCUGUUCGCCGAUUAAAGUGGCACGCGAGCUGGGUUCAGAACGUCGCGAGACAGUUCGGUCCCUAUCUGUUGUGGGCGUAGGAAUUUGAGUGGGGCUGACCUUAGU
rnacentral:rRNA from 1 species